UGGCGGACGGGUGAGUAAUGUCUGGGAAACUGCCUGAUGGAGGGGGAUAACUACUGGAAACGGUAGCUAAUACCGCAUAACGUCGCAAGACCAAAGAGGGGGACCUUAGGGCCUCUUGCCAUCGGAUGUGCCCAGAUGGGAUUAGCUAGUAGGUGGGGUAACGGCUCACCUAGGCGACGAUCCCUGGCUGGUCUGAGAGGAUGACCAGCCACACUGGAACUGAGACACGGUCCAG
rnacentral:rRNA from 1 species